UGGAGUAUAGCCAAGAGGUAAGGCGUCGGAUUUUGGUUCCGAUAUCAAAGGUUCGAAUCCUUUUACUCCAG